rnacentral:rRNA from 1 species
UACAGAGGGUGCAAGCGUUAAUCGGAAUUACUGGGCGUAAAGCGUGCGCAGACGGUUGCGUAAGUCAGAUGUGAAAGCCCCGGGCUCAACCUGGGAAUUGCAUUUGAGACUGCGUAGCUAGGGUGCGGAAGAGGGAAGCGGAAUUCCGAGUGUAGAGGUGAAAUUCGUAGAUAUUCGGAAGAACACCAGUGGCGAAGGCGACUCACUGGACACGUAUUGACGCUGAGGUGCGAAAGCGUGGGGAGCAAACAGG